CCCUGAUCCCCACAAAUACUGGAACAGUUUGGAAAGGAGCCAGAACAGUGUGAACAGGGACACCAGAGGCUUUUCUGAAAAACUGCUUGAAUAGGAGCCAAAAGUGCACUGCUAUUAUGAGCAAGGAGAAGUGGAUAAUGGGCUACUGCACACCUUGGGAAGGUGUGGCCAAAAGAUUGGAGGAAUUUAUUAUAACCCUCCACAUGGCUCUGGCAAUAGAUAUUCAGCAAGAACAUUCCGUUGGGACCUGCACCUGGACUGGAAUAGCAAGAGAUAUGGUAGACAAAACAAGAUAGA